UCUCUGGCCCCCUCUUCCUCUUCCAAAAAGAUUCCCUCUAAACCGACCAAGCAGUAUGUCCCAAAGAAAACCCCCUCUAAACCGUCCUUGCCCUCUUCGCCUUUUUUAGACUCCACUAAAGUUGCCAAAAACCUAAAUUCUUCAUUUCUUCCGGCACAAUCAACCCUACCCUCUUUUCAUCCCUCUCUUCCACCACCCUCUAAAGAACCUCCCCCUCCUCCUCUGCCCACCAACCCCAGUUUUUCUUUUUCAUCCACUGAUAGCCCACCAGUUAAAUCAUUCAAACCUUCCCUGAAACGCUGCCGCUCUUCUCCUUCCCUCUCUCCCCCGCCCCCCUCUACUGUGAUAAACCCAUCUUCUUCCUCUAUUCCUUUUUCACCUUUUCUCCAUGAAGGUCUCGCUAACUUCAUUGCUGAAACCCCAUCUUUUGACCCCCCUC
rnacentral:lncRNA from 1 species